rnacentral:tmRNA from 1 species
GGGGGUGAAAUUGGCUUCGACGGGGUUAUUUGAUCUUUGAAUUGCAUACCGUGUUUUCUGGAGACACGUAAAACGCCGGAACAAAGUCGAAACGACGACUAUAACUACGCAUUAGCUGCGUAAUCUAACGCAGCCGUUCUCUAAGACUUCUCGUACCGGGAAUUAGAAGAACGCCGUUUAGGUGCGAUAGCGGAACCGAGUGUCUGAGUAGGGGAAGCGAAAUUUAAUCGGACUGGCUUGGUAAAAUCAUGUCUGUAAGAGUUUACCGAGCGAGACUUAAAGAACAGACUAUGUAUGUAGAAGUUCACUGAUAGGUAUCUUCGGACGCGGGUUCGACUCCCGCCACCUCCACCA